AUUGAACGCUGGCGGAAUGCUUUACACAUGCAAGUCGAACGAUGAAGCCUAGCUUGCUAGGUCGAUUAGUGGCGAACGGGUGAGUAAUAUAUCGGAACGUAUCCAAUAAUGGGGGAUAACUAAUCGAAAGAUUGGCUAAUACCGCAUACGUCCUACGGGAGAAAGCUGGGGAUCGUAAGACCUGGCGUUAAGGGAGCGGCCGAUAUCUGAUUAGCUAGUGGGUGAGGUAAAGGCUCACCAAGGCGACGAUCAGUAGCUGGUCUGAGGGGACGACCAGCGACACUGGAACUGAGACACGGUCCAGACUCCUACGGGAGGCAGCAGUGGGGAAUUUUGGACAAUGGGCGAAAGCCUGAUCCAGCCAUUCCGCGUGAGUGAAGAAGGCCUUCGGGUUGUAAAGCUCUUUCGCAAGGGAAGAACACUUACUUAAUAACACUAAGUGAGGUUGACGGUACCUUGAUAAGAAGCACCGGCUAACUACGUGCCAGCAGCCGCCGUAACAC
rnacentral:rRNA from 1 species